UUUUGCAUUUUAAAAUACCACUUUUGAUUUGGAUGAAACUAAAUAUCUGUACAAAGGACACAACGCAAAGUUUUUGAUUUCUCUCAAAACAUAUAUUUCUUUUCAUGUUGAACAGAUAAUAUCUUUAAUUUGAGUCAAAGUGAUUUGCACUUGAACACGCCCACCAGAAAUAGACCGGGACCCAUUUUUAUUCUGCAUGGCUGCUGGAAACAUCGUGUCACAUCUUUGAUUAAUUUCAUCUGAAAAUAAACAACCACAGAUCGCUCCAUCCAUUCCAUGGCUGAAGCAUACAUUUUCAUUUAAUCUGAACAGAUAUCCCAGAAAGAUGAAGCUGAGGAAGAGCUGCAGAGUACCACCAUG